UAUAACUUAGUGGCAGACGGGUGAGUAAUGUAUAGGAAUCUACCUAGUAGUACGGAAUAAUUGUUGGAAACGACAACUAAUACCGUAUACGCCCUACGGGGGAAAAAUUUAUUGCUAUUAGAUGAGCCUAUAUUAGAUUAGCUAGUUGGUGGGGUAAUAGCCUACCAAGGUAAUGAUCUAUAGCUGAUCUGAGAGGAUGAUCAGCCACACUGGAACUGAGAUACGGUCCAGACUCCUACGGGAGGCAGCAGUGGGGAAUAUUGGACAAUGGGCGAAAGCCUGAUCCAGCCAUGCCGCAUGAGUGAAGAAGGCCUUUGGGUUGUAAAGCUCUUUUAGUGAGGAAGAUAAUGACGGUACUCACAGAAGAAGUCCUGGCUAACUCCGUGCCAGCAGCCGCGGUAAUACGGAGAGGGCUAGCGUUAUUCGGAAUUAUUGGGCGUAAAGGGCGCGUAGGCUGGUUAAUAAGUUAAAAGUGAAAUCCCGAGGCUUAACCUUGGAAUUGCUUUUAAAACUAUUAAUCUAGAGAUUGAAAGAGGAUAGGGGAAUUCCUGAUGUAGAGGUAAAAUUCGUAAAUAUUAGGAGGAACACCAGUGGCGAAGGCGUCUAUCUGGUUCAAAUCUGACGCUGAAGCGCGAAGGCGUGGGGAGCAAACAGGAUUAGAUACCCUGGUAGUCCACGCUGUAAACGAUGAAUGUUAAAUAUGGGGAGUUUACUUUCUGUAUUACAGCUAACGCGUUAAACAUUCCGCCUGGGGACUACGGUCGCAAGAUUAAAACUCAAAGGAAUUGACGGGGACCCGCACAAGCGGUGGAGCAUGUGGUUUAAUUCGAUGCAACGCGAAAAACCUUACCACUUCUUGACAUGAAAAUCAUUACCUAUUCAU
rnacentral:rRNA from 1 species